AUGGCUGGUGGGAUCCUUCAAUCAGGGUUAAUUGGCAUUGUAAAUACCAGCCUUGAUGGUAGAAGUGCAGACAUUUGUGCAGAGUCCAGUAACGAUGGUGAUGAUAGAGAUGUCAAAAUCCUUCAGAAGAGUGGAACUCCACCUUUGUUCACCUCUUCUCUGCACACCAAUUCUGCAGCAUCCAACAUCGUCAUAAGCAUCACUAAAGACCUUAAUAGCUUCACCCAGAUCACUAAAAUGUCUGAUGCUUCAGUGUCUGGCCAAUUAGAGAGAUCCCUGUCAGCUUCAACCCUUCCUGUCAGUGUUCAGAACGGGGCCAAUGUGAAAGGAAAUAUCAUUUGGCCAGGCACUGUAAACCUGUUCAACAAUGUGUUCAUCAAGGUUAAGGAUUUUUUUGCCCAGCAACAACCGGUCCUCCUAGACAAUGUGGUUGAGGACCCCAAACAUGCCGAAUCCAUAUACAGAACAGCUACUUCUACACAAAUGACUUACAGUGAACAUGAAGGCAGCCAGACCAGCAUGGUAAAUUAUUCCAAAGCCUUAAUUAGUCAGACUCUGAUGACAAUCCAGAGGAGAGUGUCUAUGUCAGAGAGGAUGAGCACCUCAGAGAAAGGCCUCUUGACUCGUUCCAUCGUGGGCUCCAUGUUGGAGGAUGUUGACAUGGUGAGAACUGAUGGACACGAGAUACACCGGCCAUCCUCCUCAAAGUCCUCCCUAUCCAUCACCUCUGCCAUGACCAGAGGGUCCCAGAGUGAUUUUACAAAUUCUCUUCCAGGCACUCCAGUGCCCAAUGAGUGGCCUGUUGAAAUCUAUUGUCCUAUCAUUAGGAGUUCAGUCAUUGAUAUGAGUGACUCCUCAACUCAUUCACAAGGGUCAACAAAUUACACAAGGCAAACCAUCUCUGCCAUAGUUGACACUGUUAUGGAGGUCAUUCCAAGAGAAGAUACGGAACACAUAGCCACUGCAGAUGAUGUCACUUCUUUUACAAGAAGACUUGCGAGACUCAGCCCCAGGGACGGUCUUCAGAACUUCUCACAUGAGCUCACUGACAAAGUUUAUGAGCUCAUAAAAAGUCACAACACCCCCCAGGCUCUUUUUGUGCCAGCUGGCAAGAGCGUGUCUGACUCUAUUCUUUUGAAGCUGAAGACAGGAUUGAAUGCUUCUGAAGAAUCCAGGGAGUUUCCAUCUGACCUUGUAUACUCCUUUGCUACGGAGUCAAUAAAACGUCUGCUACAGCAGAUUGUCUUCUGGCUUCCUCCACCAUCACAAGGAUCCGAUUUCUGCCAAACUAUCAUCUCUGAUGAUUCUCUGCAGGAAACAAGUUGGGUUAUGCCGAGCUCUUCUGCCAUCUCCGUUAGUUCCUCACAGGUUUACUUUGACACAAAGAGACUUUUCACCAAUAUAAUGGUCGAUCAGGUCAUGGAUACCUGUUCUGUGGCCUCCAAUUCAUCAGAAGAAUUAUCAGAGUUGAUGAACAUAAUCAAUGGGUUGUCCCCAUCUGAUGCUGGAACACUUGACUCUGACAGACCGGCUCUCAUGACCACUUGCCGUCAGUCUAGUUCCAAAUCAUUGCCUAGACCCUCUCUGUCUGGCAGCAGCACACACAACGGUGGAACUGUGGAUAUUCAAGUUUUAGGAAAGGUGGAAUUUAAGAUGGACAACAAAGAUCUGGAGAUGUCUAGUGUCUCUGUGCAUCCAUCAACUCCAUCAGCCAUGGACUCUGAUACACAUGCAUCAUUUGACUCCACUAGCAAUGAUGACACCUCUUUGGUACUUUUACUGAUUGUUAGAUUGCUGUCAAUGAUCACCCCUUUCACAUUACUGGAAUCCUCUGACAUUGGUGAAACAUCAAGAGUUCUUACAAAGAGGAUUCUGUCUGAGUUCUGUGGCACCUCAGGCCUUGAACCAACUCAAGCCUACCCCCAGAAUCUGAAAAUCAAAAAGAUUUUCAAGGCUGUCUACAAGGGGCUUCUUCAAGAAUUUGGGUCAGAGAAGAUGCUCCAGGUUGCAAUGAAGUCAACGGAUUAUGCAUUUGACGAUGCCCUGGUCAAAUCAUUAACUAGGGAACUACUAGCUAAAUGCAAUGAGGCUAGCUCUUCACCUCCCUCCAUGACACAGUUGUCAUCACACAAUGUACUUGGCAGUGACGAGGUAGGUAAUUCUGGGCUUCCAACAACUUGUAGAAAGGAAAAGAAGAGAGGAAGAUUCAGCGCUCUCUGUGGACUCAACCAAAAGGUACAUAUGUCAUCAAAAUACACAUUUUUAAGAUUAUUUUUAUUCAUUACGUACAGUAUGAUGGUAAACACUGAUACCCUUUGUGUGCAAUUUCUCCUACUGUAUAAAUGA
rnacentral:lncRNA from 1 species